GGAUUGUGGCUCAGUGGGAAAGCAUUUGCCUAGCAUGCAUGAAGCACUGGGUUCGAUCCUCAGCACCA
rnacentral:tRNA from 1 species